ACUGCCGAGGAGUCCCACAAUAGGAGGAAACGCGCGUCCUGGAU
rnacentral:hammerhead_ribozyme from 1 species